UACAGAGGGUGCAAGCGUUAAUCGGAUUUACUGGGCGUAAAGCGCGCGUAGGCGGCUAAUUAAGUCAAAUGUGAAAUCCCCCGAGCUUAACUUGGGAAUUGCAUUCGAUACUGGUUAGCUAGAGUGUGGGAGAGGAUGGUAGAAUUCCAGGUGUAGCGGUGAAAUGCGUAGAGAUCUGGAGGAAUACCGAUGGCGAAGGCAGCCAUCUGGCCUAACACUGACGCUGAGGUGCGAAAGCAUGGGGAG
rnacentral:rRNA from 1 species